AUCCAGCUGACAAGUCCCGAACAGAACGGAACGCGAGUCCUGGAU
rfam:Schistosoma mansoni strain Puerto Rico chromosome 1, complete genome